AUGAAAUCUGAUGUCGAGUUAAUGCUCCCUCGGAAGAAAGAAAUCAUAAUAUAUUGGUUAUGAUUGAAGGAAGUUCACUUUGGGAAAUUGAUAGUCUUCGACACCAUUAUUGUCCUCCUGUUUCAAGGUUAGUUUUAUGCCUAGUAUCCCCGUACAAUCAAGUGUGUGAAGUGUUCAAGAGAGAGCUUGGCAUGACACC